UAAUGACUCUCAACAACGAAUAUCUUGACUCUCGCAUCGAUGAAGAACGCAGCGAAAUGCGACACAUAGUGUGAAUUGCAGAAUCCCGUGAAUCAUCAAAUCUUUGAACGCAAGUUGCGCCUAAAACCAAUUUUAGGUUUAGGGCAUGCUUGCUUGGGUGUCGAGUG
rnacentral:rRNA from 1 species